AUUGAACGCUGGCGGCGUGCCUAACACAUGCAAGUCGAGCGGUAACAGGUGUAGCAAUACAUGCUGACGAGCGGCGAACGGGUGAGUAAUGCUUCGGAAUCUACCUUAUGGUGGGGAAUAACUAGCCGAAAGGUUAGCUAAUACCGCAUACGUCCUACGGGAGAAAGCAGGGGAUCGUAAGACCUUGCGCCAAAAGAUGAGCCGAAGUCGGAUUAGCUAGUUGGUAGGGUAACGGCCUACCAAGGCGACGAUCCGUAGCUGGUCUGAGAGGACGACCAGCCACACUGGGACUGAGACACGGCCCAGACUCCUACGGGAGGCAGCAGUGGGGAAUAUUGGACAAUGGGGGAAACCCGUGAUCCAGCGACGCCGCGUGUGUGAAGAAGGCCUGCGGGUUGUAAAGCACUUUUAGU
rnacentral:rRNA from 1 species